GGUGAACGCUGGCGGCGUGCCUAAGACAUGCAAGUCGAGCGGGCCGCGGGGGUUUACUCCGUGGUCAGCGGCGGACGGGUGAGUAACGCGUGGGUGACCUACCCGGAAGAGGGGGACAACCCGGGGAAACUCGGGCUAAUCCCCCAUGUGGACCCGCCCCUUGGGGUGUGUCCAAAGGGCUGUGCCCGCUUCCGGAUGGGCCCGCGUCCCAUCAACUCGUUGGUGGGGUAAUGGCCCACCAAGGCGACGACGGGUAGCCGGCCUGAGAGGGUGGCCGGCCAGAGGGGCACGGAGCCACGGGCCCGACUCCCACGGGAGGCAGCAGCUAGGAAUCUUCGGCAAUGGGCGCAAGCCUGACGGAGCGACGCCGCUUGGAGGAAGAAGGCGUUCGGGGUGUACCCUCCUGAACCCGGGACGAAACCCCCGAGGAGGGGACUGCCGGUACCGGGGUAAUAGCGCCGGCCAACUCCGUG
rnacentral:rRNA from 1 species